CCGUGUACAGUAGAUUCUACAAACCAAAAAAAUCUUGCGGCAGUUGGUAACUGCAGACAGCCUAGCAUAUGCAUCACCAUAACUGUAGAUCCGGCGGCGCAACCCUAAUCCCCUUUCACCGCCCGCCCCGGACCAAUCAAAGCCGGUUUACUACAAGACCCCUCCUCUCCCCUGCGAACCACAACUGUCAGCCGGCGUUUAGGAAUGCCAAGCGUCAUGGAUUGGAAUCAUGUUCCUAGGUUGAUUUCGACGGUUUGUUUUGCGGAUGAAAAUAGUUAUGGGGUUGGAUUUUGGGGCAUGAAUUUAGGCGAGGUUACUAAGGAUUUAUUGGUUCCAAUUAUGAGGAGCAUUUGAUAAAGUCAGUUUUUGUGGCUCUGAUGCUCUGCAAGAGUUGAGAUUUUCUGGAGCGUCAGGGUUUGUGCAAGUGCAACUCAAAAUGGCUUUAGAGUGACAUAUGGAAGGUUUAUUGGGAUUUAGGAGAUACAUGAAGUGGCCAGUACAUAACCUUCAACACAAAGUCACAUUAUAGUGAAAGAAUAACAUUAUUUGUGUAGCUGAGAUUUCUGUUGAUUCAUUUUCAUGCAAGUCUCACACAUUUAUCAGAACUAUUGGUGUUGACAAAAUUAAUGUUUUAAGUGGAGUUCAAGCCUUGCAGAUCAGGCACUCUAUAGGCUUGUAUUUAGGUGCAUCUUAAUUCAUCUCCACACAAGUCAAGUUAAAAUGCAUUAUAGUUUAUAGAAAACACUUGUGGAGCUAUCAGUAUGUCAGCUUCAGUUUAGCUUACGGUUUAAAACAAGUAUUUAUCAUUUUGACUUUUUUUCCUUGCAUCAGAAAACCUAAUUAUGUGGAGUAUUGUUUAUCAUUUCUUCAACAUGAUGGUUACUUUUUAUUUUGAAAUGUUACCUAUAUUUUGUUGUUUUCUAGUAAUUGUUGUGACAUAUAAGAUACGAUGUUGCUGAUGGGUUGGUAAAACUAGUUAUCCUUGCUCCUUGGUGGUUCAACCAUCAAACCUAAUAAAGAUAGUUGUUCAUCUUAUAUCCGCUUUAAUUAGGAUUUGGCUUGUUUUAGUAAUUUUGAAAGCUAGAUGAACAAUAUUGGACCUUCAUUGGGAUGUCUAACAAACAAUAGAGUUCAUUACAAUAAGAGCGGGAUAUUUAUGACUAUGACCUUAUCCAUGGUUUUCUAGCAAGUAAAUUAUCUAACUUUUGUUAAUAUUACUCUGGAUAUAUUUGCCCGUUUAUCUAGACAAUUUCUAAAAGUAUUGCCAUCGUGCAUAAUUUAAUCCAGUGUUUGGCUUUAAUGAAGAAACUUUCUGAUGCAGUUUGAGUCUCUGUGGUAUGGGCACACUAUUUUAACAAAAUGGUAUUGCAGCAGAUUGGUGCUUGACACAGUGAGUAGUAUUGUUACUGAAAAUUUGUAGAUGCUCUCAUUAUAAUCUAUAACCUAUACAUGUUUUGUAUUGAUUGCUUGAGCUUUAAUUAGAAUACAACUUGGAUAGGACGAGAACCAUCUCAUGCAUUUCAUUGAAGAAUAUGGAUUACUGGGGAACAUGGAAGGUGAAGUCUUAUUUGUUUCUUUAUACUGAAUGUAAGUUGUAGAGAGUUUGGACAAAAAUAGUUGGCACAUUAAUAAAGUAAUACUAGUAGCUUAUCACAAUAAACUAAUAGAUGGUUUUAAAGAAGUUUGGUGACGAUUAUGAUGAUUGAAACAUUAGCCUAAUCUUAAGAACAAUGUUCACGAUUAUGAUAGUUGAGAAGGUAAAAUGGAUGGCUGCAUAUAGGUGUCAAGUGUAAGUAUUAAUGUUUGAGUUUGAAAAUAGUGUUUGAGCAUAUACAUGCAUAUUGCUGAUUAAUUUCCUUGGUUUUUUUUCCAAGAGACAUUUGAAAAUUGGGUAGCACCUGUCUGGUUACUGACAGUCUAUUUGUAAGAUGUUUGGAAAUUUGGUUGCAUCCAGUUGGUUACUGACUCAUAAUCCAUUUGGAAGGAUGUUGGUGCUUGAUGUAUAUCCAUUAAUUUGAUACUCCACUUAAUAAGUUAUUCUAUUGACUUGUGGAAGAUAGAAUGUGUAGAUUUUGGUUUUUGUUUCUCUCCUUGAUGCCCUUGCUUGUGUUGCACACUAGCUGAACCUUUCUUGGUAUAUAUCAUUGCAUGCAUUUUUACGUUUUUCUUUGUAUAAUGCGAGAAUGAGAAAGUGAAGCGAUGUGGAAAAUAGUUGUUGAAUUUUAACCGCUCCCAUUAACUUCAAAAGUAAAGGAAUUGGAGAAAGGUGUAGAUGUUAAUUAGGCUUUGUUAAUGACUUUGGUGGGAAAUGAUGGAGUAAAGUCUGUAUGGAGUCUUAGCAUUUGUUUCGACUUUUUGCUUUACUUAUUCUUCAUAGUGAUUUGAUGUAGUUAAAGAGAAUUGAGAAGAGGGUUGCUGGAAAAGGUGACCUAAUCCAUGGCACUAUAUUGCUGCAUGGAUCUUGACUUAGCACAUGAUUCGGUACAAGUCUUUUGUGGAAGUUGGCCACUUACAUAGACAUAUUCAUGAAAAGAAUAUAUAGGGAAAUUACUGGGAUGUUUCAAAUUUGGACUUUUGAUUUGAUUGCAUCGUCUUGUUUAAUGCUGGAGGAAAUUUCCUUCCAAUUUCCCUCAAAGCUAUUGUUUACGUUAAUAUAGGUAAGCAAGUAUUUCAAA